ACAUAUGAGGUCUAAUUAAAAAGUCAAUCUUUCAAUCAUACAAGUCAGUCUAAAAUCAUGCAAAUAUGGGGCCCAACAUAUCUACAGGCGUUAAGAUUACACAUAUUAAAUCAGGAAACUAUAGGCAUAUAUAAGAACAAAUCAAACCAUUCUUGGACACAUUAAUCUAAUACAUAACCAGAUUUAAAGUUCAGUCAUGCAUAAAUAUUAAUACAAUAUUCAUAAAAAUAUUCCAAUAAAAAUAAACAGACAAAGGCAUGAGAUACAAUUUACACUUGGAUUUUUCUUCCUUUCUUGCUACCGUCCUUCAACUCGGCGCCCAAGACUUUUUGAUUCAGCUCCCAUCUCUCCUCCUUAUUUGUUUUGCAAGCUCAUUCUCUUCUCCUUGCUAAGUGACGGUUUCUUGCUUGAUUGGUUACUUUUUGGUGGUCUUUUGCUUGGAUAUGCACGGCUAUGAGUGGAGGAGAAGAGGCAAAAGUGUGUAAUUCUUUGCCUUUUGCUUUCUUUUCUAUUUAUAGUGUCAAAACAUCACUUCAGGGCAACCUUCCUUUUCC
rnacentral:lncRNA from 1 species